rnacentral:rRNA from 1 species
AUUGAACGCUGGCGGCAGGCCUAACACAUGCAAGUCGAACGGUAACAGGAAGGAGCUUGCUUCUUUGCUGACGAGUGGCGGACGGGUGAGUAAUGUCUGGGAAACUGCCUGAUGGAGGGGGAUAACUACUGGAAACGGUAGCUAAUACCGCAUAACGUCGCAAGACCAAAAAGGGGGACCUUCGGGCCUCUUGCCAUCGGAUGUGCCCAGAUGGGAUUAGCUAGUAGGUGGGGUAACGGCUCACCUAGGCGACGAUCCCUAGCUGGUCUGAGAGGAUGACCAGCCACACUGGAACUGAGACACGGUCCAGACUCCUACGGGAGGCAGCAGUGGGGAAUAUUGCACAAUGGGCGCAAGCCUGAUGCAGCCAUGCCGCGUGUAUGAAGAAGGCCUUCGGGUUGUAAAGUACUUUCAGCGGGGAGGAAGGGAGUAAAGUUAAUACCUUUGCUCAUUGACGUUACCCGCAGAAGAAGCACCGGCUAACUCCGU